CCGGCGACCGGCGCACGGGUGAGUAACACGUAUGCAACCUGGCCGUGACAGAUGGAUAACCGGGAGAAAUCCCGCCUAAUACAACAUAAUGCCGGGAGGGGACAUCCCCUGCCGGCCAAAGGGGGCGACCCCGGUCACGGAUGGGCAUGCGGCGCAUUAGGUAGUUGGUGGGGCAACGGCCCACCAAGCCGACGAUGCGUAGGGGUUCUGAGAGGAAGGUCCCCCACAUUGGAACUGAGACACGGCCCAAACUCCUACGGAAGGCAGCAG
rnacentral:rRNA from 1 species